UGUUAACUUUUUGUAGCCAUACCCAAGUUACUUUAAACUUUGUAUGUUGUUCAAGAACAGAGUAUAUCCUGGUUAGGAUGUGUUCAUAGCUGAUGCAUCUCCAAAAAAUUUUUCAUGAAGGCGGCCAGCUUCUGAACAUCUUCAAUAGUGACAGCAUUAUACAGAGAGGCCCGGAUGCCUCCCACAGACCUGUAGAAUCCUUGAGAAUUAUCAAUAAUCUCAUAAAUCAUUUGAGAUUUGAUGGAGCUAAGCUUCUCUAUGGCCACGGCACCUCCAUUGUUUUUAAUCCACUCCAGGACCAAGCCCAUGACGUAGAUGCUGAAACAUGGAGGCGUGUUGUACAAGGAGCUGUUUC
rnacentral:lncRNA from 1 species